CUGGUGUUCUAUGUGUUCCUAAAAGUUGG
rnacentral:piRNA from 1 species